AGGACGUGUGGCCCAAUGGCAAGGCGCUUGACUACGAUUACAAGCAGUGAUCAAGAGAUUCCAGGUUCGACCCCUGGCACGUUCAG